GCCAGGCAUGGUGGUGCGUGCCUGUAAUCCUAGCUACUUGGGAGGCUGAGGUGGGAGAAUUGCUUGAGCCUGGGAGGCAGAGGUUGCAGUGAGCUGAGAUUACGCCACUACACUCCAGCCUGGGCGACAGAGUGAAAUUCCAUCUCAA
rnacentral:sRNA from 1 species